UGGAGAGUAGUCAAGCGGUAAGACAAAUGGCUCUGACCCAUUCAAUCGUAGGUUCGAAUCCUUCCUCUCCAACCA
rnacentral:tRNA from 1 species